GAUUAAUGUUGCUCGGAUCAGCAGUCGGAAAUAAAAAUGCACGAUGCAUUUUUAUUUCCGACUGCUGAUCCGAGCAACAUUAAUC
rnacentral:pre_miRNA from 1 species